rnacentral:tRNA from 1 species
GCGGCCGUAGUCUAGCCUGGCAGGAUGGGGGCCUGCCAAGCCUCGGGGAAACCCGGGUUCGAAUCCCGGCGGCCGCACCA